UGCACUGUUACGAUUACAUUGCCGUCCUCGAGGGGACUUGAAGGUCUCCCCAUAUAAGUUACUGUUUGGUCACCCCCUCCCGCGGGGGAGGUCCGGUUCAGUCUAUCACUCUCAUGGAAGGUGAUGAAACGCUGGCAAAGUACUUCGUCUCCCUGCAGCAGGAAGUGAACACCCUCCAGCGAGACGUGAUCAACUGCCAAGCAGUACACUUAGAUGGUCAAGCCAGCGGUCAUGGACGGUUCUCCAGGGGAGUGACCUGCAGACAAUGGAACUGACGCCAUGGAGAAGCAACAACCCCACACUCCAAUUGCUGCUCUAUGUCUCAGACGGUCCUCGACUGGAUGGACGAUCUGGUGAGACUCAGGAGGACUUUGGCCACCAUUAUCAGAAUGAUCUGUGAUCCUGCGGUGGUUAGCACACCUAGGAUCAAAGGGGCGAUUGUACUGGAUGAUUUACCAUCCAGUCUCUGUUCUGUCUCCUUCCCAUAUCAUACUAGGCAAUUGACCAUCCUGUCUCCAUUCUAUCGCCUUCCAAUAUUGUGCUAAAUAUCCUAUCGCCAUUUAAUCUCCUUCCUAUGGUAGAUCAAUUAGUUAAAUUUGGGUAACGAUGUGUCAAUUACAUUACCUUAUUAGGACCACUCCUAAGAACUGGUUCUGAAUGGAGGGUGGAGUUCCGGGCAAUGCCAGGGGAUCGGGUGGGAUUUGGGGUGUGCACUGGAAGAGUUGUGGUCGAAUGGAAUGCAGAAAUGCUUGCAAAUAAAGGUACCGGGUUCAGGACGGCUCGUGGCUGUUUGUCACUUGUACCCUGCCGGGGAAAACGGGCGGCAGCCACUUUCCGCCCUUUCCUGCUCCCUCGGCUCAUUUAUUUCUUGAGUCUUUUCAUUUCUACCCCAGUGUCACGAAACCCCCUCAUGCAAUUGCGAGAUCAGAGUCGUUUCUCUGACAAAAAUCUGUAACAACACCUCCCUGCUGGGAGGGGUGAAUCAAUUAACCCAUGAUGUCAGAACUCUCCAGCAGUGCCUGAAGCAGCUACAUAAGGCCAGAGUCCUCCACCAGCCAGCCCCAACCCACUGCCACCUGCACCCCUAUGUGCCCGGAAAUUUCGUGUUGAUCCUGCACCACCGGAGGACCACGCCUACGACGCCGAAGUGGGAUAGCCUGUUCCAGGUGCUCCUGACCACACAAACUACAGCGAAGGUGGCAGAGAGGAAUGCCUGGAUCCUCCACUCACACCUUAAACGAGCAUUCAGGUGUGAUUCACUCUGUGCUAGAGAGCCUUCGGCAGCCGUGACUCCCAGAAUACCCGAGGAGAAACCGACAGAUAAGUGGGAUUCUUCCGGCUGUGUCGGGUCCAGACCGAGCGACUGUUCAGACCGAGCGACUGUUUUCGGCAGGAGAUCAGUCCCACCCCGGGCCCUGCCAAAAUAAAGCCAGUGGCAGAUAGAACAGCGACUCCACGAUGAUGGACCACCUUCCUCCGGAAUCCCCCAGCAGUCAUCCCGGAAGGCGCCAGAUUCACUGUUCCUCGAUGCCCCCGGCCGAGACCGCCCGAGCCACGGUUGUGGAAUGUCCGCCGGGGACAUCCCCCAAUGCCUUUGGGCGCCCCCCCGAGAUAGGCCCCGGGACCCUCUGGUCUCCUGUACAUGGAGAGCAGUGAAUAAAAAUGUCUUAAGCCCAGUCCCAGGCCUGUUGGUGGUCUCUUGUUUGUGGAUUGGGUCUGUGCUGUCCUAAGCGGUGGGACAUGUCAGGAGCUUCUUUGACAACCAAGAUUUUGCAGGUCAGUGAAUGGGUCUACCACAUUCUUCC
rnacentral:lncRNA from 1 species